CCUUAGUGCACUUUAGGAUAGAUUAUACUAUUUAAAUGUACUUUCUGUACGUAUGCUCUCUUAUCUUCAAAUCCAAGGGCAAAUUCACAAAGCUAAAGAAGACGCUCCACUGUUUUUGGUUUAUGCUUGUUCAUAGGGACUGCAGGGUCCCUUAGUCCUUGAGGAUUUUUUUGUUUUAAAAAAUGUGCUAAUAGGGAACUUACACCAGAGUUUCAGAUCAUCCUUCAGACCACAGGGAAUGAUUCAAAUGAAAGCUACGAUAAUGCUUUGUUGCUGAAAGUUUCAAACUUCUUUUGCAGGGAGGGUUUGGCAAAUACUCAUCUGACCAUGAAAUGCCCAUUUCCAGCGUGAGGCCAAAAUGAAGCGUCUUCUUCACCUCUAAAAAACAGAAGCAUAGGUUGUACAUUCCAGCCACAAAUGGUAAAUUCUCACUCAACAUCCCGGGUUUGAUUUUAACUCUUUAUCUUUAAUUAAAUUCACAGGCAUCUUGCUGCUUUGCCAUACGCCAUAUUAAAGAACUUCAUGUAUUAUCAUCGAAAGCCAGAGAUUAACGACAGUUUCGCUAGUUAAACAAUAGAGUACCAAAUACUGCAACCGCCCAAUGCCUACCUCAAGUUAACAUGAGAUUAUUGCCUCCGAGGUGAGGACGAAGGCAAACAGGAACCUCAUGCUCUUCUGGUCCCUCGCGAAGUUUAGGCACUAGAAUCUCCAGCACAGAUCCUGGCCCAUCAUAAUAUGCUUUUAUGUUAGCAUCCUCAGGAAUUCUAGUUGAAAGUGGGAUUUCUCUAACAAACUCCCCUGGUGGGCAAUGCUCAGAAGCUGGAUCUGUAAGUUGGAAUGUCCUAUCAUGUCUCUUGAUGAAUGGCAUGCGAGAUAAGCUCACACCAGAUACCUUAAUUAUACCAUGAGUAAGUGUAUUUCUCCAAGAGACCUUCACCCUCUGCAGAUCCACGAAAGGCAAACUGAUAAUAAUCAAGUAACCUUCUUCAUCCUCAUAGAUUGUUUUUGCUGCAGUCACUGGCCCAUAAGCGUUCUUCAUAACCCCACUAAAAUCAUGCAACCAUUGUGGCUGCUCAUUUGGUUGAAGUUCUAUAUCUGCCAUCCGAUCAGAAGGAGGACUAACAGCCAAAUAACAAUCAUCAUCACUUCCAUGUGGGAAAAAGUCCUUCCUUCUUUUGCUGCUGACAGGUGAUAUGUCUGUCCCAUCACCGUUGCUAUGGCUGGAUGGCUGAGUUGACAAAUUGAGCCCAGACCCAUUGAGCAGCUUGUUUGAGUGAGAAUUAGAGGCACUCUUUAUAGGAGGAGGUGGCCUCUCAAGCUCAAAAUCUGUGUUCGGAAGGUUUCUCCAAGAACUGAAAUCGCCUGCUUCGGGUGGGAUUGUGAAGUUGAAAUCCCUGCCUGUGAGUUCCAUCCAUCUUUUCUUAUCAUCCUCAUCAAAACCCAUGAGAUUGGGUGAGGGAACAACUUCAAUUCCAUGCACACACUGAGGAUUUGACAGUCCCCUAUAAUGCUUCCGCUGCAUUCUGUGCGAUCGGACAAAACCCUUAUCCACACUAAAUGGAAACGGGCGCUCCCCUUGACGAGAAUGUCCAUUCAUGUAGCUUCUUAGCUGCAUCUUACCCAACGC
rnacentral:misc_RNA from 1 species